GUUUGUGCCCAGCUGCAGUGUACUAUUGUAAAUGUACUGUAUUACUGUUUAGCUUCUUAUUCUCUUCAUUUGACAGUUUUGUAGUGGCCAUGGAAAUGCUACAGUAUGGAGUUCUACUGAUGAUUAUUUCAUGUAUCAGUGGUCAGCCAUUGACCUCCUCUGAUUCUGUAGUGAAAAAACCUGGAGAAUCAGCCACUCUGUCCUGCACUGUGUCUGGAUUCUCAAUGAGCAGUUACUGGAUGCACUGGAUCCGUCAGAAACCAGGGAGAGGACUAGAGUGGAUUGGGUACAUUGACGGUGGCACCAGCACUAAUUUUGCACAGUCUCUACAAGGCCAGUUCUCCAUCACCAAAGACACAAGCAAAAACAAGCUGCAUUUAGAGUUGAAAAGCCUGAAGACUGAGGACACGGCUGUUUAUUACUGUGCAAGAGAGUCACAGUUAGACAAAAGACUACAAGGCUGUACAAAAACUAUUCAUGCAAGAUAGUUAUGAGGGCCUCCG